AUGUUCAAGGUGAAGCAGCACGGAUCCCUGCUGGACAUCACCUUGUUCGUCCAUCCGGAGGCUUUCCAGUCCAUCGUGCGAAAGUCCUUCAACAGAAUCUCUUCAGCACAGUGGAGGCUGUUAUUUGGCGAUAUUUAUGACCCAGGUGUUGACACAAUACUGACCGAAAUGCUCACUGAAAUUGUACAGGAGCUCUGUACAUCGGGCGUUCACAUAGCCUUACAAAGGCUUCGAAAGGUCUUGAAGAAGGAUUCAAAGACUGAUAUGAGUACAGCUUUGGAAAAGUUCAACAUAAAGCUGGGAGACGUUGUCACCGCUACUUUCGCUGAAGUUCUUUACCUCCCACAGCACAAGUGUGAGAGUGCAGAGAUGCUGACAGAACUGAUCGAGAAUGAAGUUCUUCAUAAAGUAACUCUGGCCAUCAGAAGAUCCAUUCUGAUGAAAGACGUUGCUUGUUUUGUCCCUCACUCCAUGUCUGACAUAACAUCUAUUUGUCAAAUGGUGAGCCAUGCUACCACAUGUCUGAAAAGAUAUGUAAGUGAACUGAACUACGACUGCCUACAAUGGUGGUGGCGGCCAAGAAGGACUGAUUCUACAGCAAGUACCCUGAAACCAGGGGCAUGUAAACGGCGUAAGAGCAAGAGAUCCACGCUGAAAACCUCAAUUCAGGGAGAAGACUGUGACUCUAUUGUGAUUCGUAGUCAGGAUUCAGGCUCUUCUCAGCCAACACUCAGAGACGAGGAUGCCUCCGACAAAAAAAUUAUUUUACCAGGAAUUCUACCAGAGUCUCCAAGGCCCAAAUCUGAGGCUUCCAUUCAGACCAGGACAACACCAUUAAUCAGUGUGAAAGAGAAGCCGCCUUCGCCACCAGAAUUUGAUUCAGUCCAAAAUGAUGUUGAGUCCUGGUUUAAUAUUUCACACCUGCCAGAGAAAUCUGCACCACAUAAGAAAAUCCUGGGAAACAAGCAGCUUUCAAAAGAGUUGACUGAAUCAUACAGUGAUGUCAUGGCUACCAGCACAUGUCCCAUUCCAAAGAUAGGAUGGGCAGAGAUGGAGCAAACAAAUCUGAGAAGUCACAGUGGUAAAGUGUCCAGUGCAGUAAGCAACAUCAUAUGCCGAGUCACAAAAAUAGUGUCCCCAAUCUUCCACACUUCUACACCGCAUUGUACAUCUCAGGUUGAAUCUUUCAACGAUGCUGCGCCAUCUCCAUCUUUCGUUGCUCUCAGAAAAAGCUCUGAAAAGUCAGGAAGGGGACUCUCGGGAGACUCGGCUGACACUUCUUCUUUGAUAUCAGAGAUGACAACCAACAAUCUCAUCGCAGUUCUACUCACGAGGCUCAUCGAAAAUGUCCCUCAGAAAACCAGAAAGGCCCUUCAGACAGAAGACAUCGACAGCAUCAUUAAGCGUCUCUCCAGAAUGGCACGGGAUAACAUCAACAUCGAUGACUCAGCUGUUGGGGAGACAAGAAGAAACAUGGAACAAGUCAGUGAAGCGGUGAUCAGGGACCUUGAACAGGGGUUUGGCUCUCCUGAACAGUUACUGGAUGCUGCAAUGGCAUCAAACUCUUCAUUUUUUGAUGAAGCAAUUUUGGAGUCUCUGGUAAUCCACCUGGAUGCCCUCCACAGUCCAAAAAGGUCUACAGCUGCCAGAAUCUUUUUAAUUGUGGGAAAAGUUCUAAUCAAACCCUUUACGCUUUUCAUCCCUGAUCACGGCGAAGAAUAA
ensembl:lncRNA